UACGGGGGGAGCAAGCGUUGUUCGGAUUUACUGGGCGUAAAGGGCGUGCAGGCGGUCUGUUAAGUCUAGGGUGAAAGCUCCCGGCUCAACUGGGAGAGGUCCUUGGAUACUGGCGGACUUGAGGGAGGCAGAGGAAAGUGGAAUUCCCGGUGUAGUGGUGAUAUGCGUAGAUAUCGGGAGGAACACCAGUGGCGAAGGCGGCUCACUGGCCCGAUACUGACGCUGAGGCACGAAAGCGUGGGGAGCAAACAGG
rnacentral:rRNA from 1 species